rnacentral:rRNA from 1 species
GAAACUGAUCUUCCCGUGAAGAAGCGGGAAUUAUUCUAUAAGACGAGAAGACCCCAUGAAGCUUCAAAUAACUAUCAACUAUUAACUUUACACCAUCAGAUACCUAUAGCCCUGACUACUUAUUUUUGGUUGGGGCGACCACGGAGUAAAACAAAACCUCCACAAUGAAAAGACCUAAUCCAUUAUCCAAGAACAACAGUUCUAACAAUCAACACAUUGACAUAAUUGACCCAACCUCCCCCUUGAUCAAUGAACCAAGUUACUCUGGGGAUAACAGCGCUAUCUAUUUCAAGAGUUCAUAUCGACAAAUGGGUUUACGACCUCGAUGUUGGAUCGGGGUAUCCCAGUGGUGCAGCCGCUACUAAAGGUUCGUUUGUUCAACGAUUAAAACCCCACGUGAUCUGAGUU